GCACGUGACGCAAGACAUUUGUGCCUCUUCGUGAAAACGAAAAUACCACAUUGCUAUAAAAUACGCGUUGAAGCGCGCACACAUCUAUAGAUUUGUGUUACUUCGUGGUGUUGGUGACGAAUUAUGCCAGUACGCACUUGAGAGGGCACUUCAACAAUUCAAAAUUGGAGAGAUUGUGUCAAACUUGGUUNCUGUAUAUUCCGCAAAUAAUGUUAAAGGUUCGACCAAUUGUUUGAGAUGCGCGUGGUAAUCAUCCUUAAGUAAUAAAUUAGUCAAAGGCCACUCACUGCAGGACUCUGAAGUUGUUAUGGAUAUCAGUCGCACACUGACGUAUUAACUGUGGAAGGGAGAUAGCAAAGUCCACAUUACCGUUAGGGCGUUCUUCUUUACGUUUAUAGUUCUCAUCUUGUUGGUCAAGGGAAGACUGCUGCAUGGUCGGUCAAAGCAGUCUUUUCUUGGCCAGACUGAAGCAAGCUUCAUCAACAGGGAUGUAUUCGUAUCGUUCGUUUCUUUUAUGCAGAUCCAGUAGUCUGUGAGCGAAAAAAAAAAUUAUACAGGUUACAUUUACGUUGUAGAAAAUAAGGUUGGUCACAUUUGGCUACAGUUAAUUAACUAAUUUACGAUAGGUGACUUACUGGAAAAUAUUGGCAGCAUAUUUCUUUCACCCUAAUGCUGUUUCUCGUAUCGCAUUCUGAUAAUAUUUUUAAAAUUGUAUCCGGUGUCUUUUAAAGAUCCAUUCGACAGUUGUCAAAUGUCUGUUUGAACAUUUGCAAAUGCAUCGUUGUCCUCGAAAACCCUUAGUUAGAUUUGAGGCGAUUUAUGCUCUAGAACUAUGUUUAUAUUUGCAUCCUCUUGUUUUGAGAAAAGGAAUCGCGUUUGUCCAGAAUGUGGUCUUCUAUCAGAUCUGCAAAGGACUAACUCAAAACGUGUGGGUCUAAAGGACUGCAUGAACAUAUGAACAAGGCUCUUGUCUAGUAACUUUUGAGUAACUUUUAUCGCUGGUGAAAUGUAGUUUCCUUCACUUACUGAUCGUAGAUUCAAAGCACAACUUUUGACUCCUGCUUACCAAUUUCCAUUUCAAAAUAUCCGUGUGACGUACGUGACUGUGCGUUUAGGUUGGGUUGCUCGUCUGUCCGGCUUUCAUCAGUGUCAGUUCAUUAUUUUAAGCGGUGGCCUACCUGUAUGCAAGCGGGCGUUGGUUAAAGCCUACGCACACAAGUGUAAGGCCAUUGCAUGCGGUAUUUGCGUUUAACUUGAUGUUGUCUAUAUAUACCUAUAAUUGUAAGUGCAUUGUUUUGUGUAUUUGAUGGUAAGGGUGAGUAGUUUAGAAUGCAGUUUCCAAACUUACAUUACCAUUAGGGUAGAAAUACAUACUGCAAAGAUCAGAACUUACACCUGUACUUAUGCCCCACACAUUCAAUCGUACCUAUUCGUAUAAAUAUCUUCACCUAGGCCUGCCAGCUUUGCUAUCUCCCACCAUGCAAAAGAUUUUUCACUUUUCAAAACUUUGCUUUGGGAACUGGCGCUUUAGACAAGUGGUUAGGACAAAAAUGUCUUUAGAUCUCAAUUUUUUGAUGGGAAACAAUUAGCAGUAGCAUGGAAAUAUGAAUUUAUUCGAUUUGUACAUUUGGAACUUCCAACACAGCUAUCUGUGGCCCUGUUGAUAAACCAACCAAUGGCAAGAGAGAAGUUUCCCGCAGCAGUGUCGGUGGAGUGGCCACCUUUACCUGUGAUGAUGGAUACAUGCUGGAAGGGCAAGGCAAGCAUGUGUGUCUGGAGAAUGGUCAGUGGAAUGGACACAUUCCAACCUGUGAAGCACCAGGUACACAGCCGUGGCAGAUUGCUGUCUCAGUCGUUGUGUGUUUUCUGUUCCUGGUUGCAGUUGCAAUUGUUGUCUGCUUGGUGAUGCGACGAAGAAGGGAAUGAGAUAUGCUGUGUCUCACUCGACCGCCGAGCGGCCGCACGGAGCUGAGCAGUACUGUAGUUAAGUAGUAGUAAAGCUGAUCAUUUCGAUACUAUGGUGCACACUAUAGACGACAAUGUGCGCCACUUCGUGGCGUCGUCUCGUGCCGCCUGUCGUGGGCGACGGCACGUCGUGCCUUACUUCAGUAUCAUUAUUAACCAUGAGGAAAUACGCUACGUCACAAUACGAUGCCUAUCAUAUUGUCGUCUGUAGAAGAGCACACGAUCCCAUUUAAGUGGAUUCCAAUUUAUUUUAUUUGUAGCAAAUGGAUAAAGUUGACCUCGAGUCACCUUGGUCCUUGUUAACACAUAUAUUGUUUUUCUUAACUCUUAUGUAACUACGUGCCAGACGUAGACUGUUUAGCCAACAAAGCAAAAAUAUGAUUGUUGAAAGAUAUACCCUCCACUGUUAUAUGAUACAUCAAACGUCAACCUCUACUAUUUUUGACAGGGUUCUAAGUAAUUAUCCAACACAGGUCAAAGUGACCGUAUGGUAUAGUCUAAUUGCCUGUGUGUCUGGUUUACAAACCUGUGUUCGGCAGAUAACUACAGUUAUAAACAAUUAACAUAUUCCCGACCUUAACUUUUUAGUUUGAGGACGGAUAGUGGUCACCCCCAAAAUCUACAGCUAACUACCAAGCACAAGUCACACAAUUUUCGAAAGUACGUCACCAAUAUCCAGCUCCCUUCAAUUACGAGUGCAACUUCCAACCUGCAAAACUGAGUGUCUGAUCUCUGCAUAUUCAGUGGCCUCAUUGUCGGACCAGAGGCUUCAUGGCAACCUCAACGGCCAGUGUUACCUUUAUAUGUUAAAUGAUGAUACCAUCCCUAUAUCCUCAAAGGAAAUUUCUAGGUUCAGUAGCGAGGUGUGUUUACGGUGGUGGGCUCAAGACUGCACUCCGUUCAUCGCCCACUGGUUGUCCGCAGCCGUCUUCACAGAGUGUUCAGUGACUGUGUCAUAGAAUAGCGUUGGGUUAUCUGCAUGAAUGGCCACCAAGUUUUCCAGACAUCAGUCCGUGUGAUUACAAACUUUGAGGAUACUUGGAACCCAAGGUGUAUGCGACUACCCCUCCGGACCUGCACAUUUCCUUAAAAAAACCCACAUAUUGAGGUCGUGAAGCAGACUCUACUAUUGUUACAUGGAUAGACUGUCGCCUGUGUUUCGAGCCAGAGAAGGGGAAGUCGAAGGGUAAAGGGUGUAAUCACCUACAGUUCAUCCACACAGCAAGACUUGCACAUCCCAAUAAAAUCGAUUAACACUAUUCUUAAAAACGUUUUAGUAUAAUAACUGAUUUGUAUGUCCAGAUUCGUCAAAUCUUGAUUUUGAUGACUCACUUUGAAGAGUCGGUGUUGGCUAAACAAUCCACGUCUAUGACAGUAAAGUUAGCUGGAUAUUGGACACUGUGCAUUCUCAUAGGUUUCAACAGCAAAUGUGUCGGUUUGGAGAGACUGUUCCCAUAGGUUCCUACAGCGAAUGUCGCGGUUUAGAGACAUUUUUCACAUCAGUGUCUUAUGUUGCAAGAUUCGUUAGCAGCUUGUUGUAUUCCAAUCUAAUUGGUCGUAUAUAAACAAGCUUUCAGUCAAAGGUUUUGGCAAUAAUUUAUAAAUGCAGUUUGUUAUUUGCCACUCCAUGUGCGUGAAAUCUGCAUCUCUCUCAAUCAAUGGGAAAAUCACAUUUUUUAACUUCUUCAAGGGAACAACCAAGCACGGACAGUUCUCUAUCUGCUAGAAACCCAAUUUGCUCUAGCAACGUUUACCGUUGGAAGUUACAUGUACUCUGACGAUUUUAGGGUCAGGAAUGGUAAAAUAUAGUUUUUGUGAUGGGAGCGUAUUUCCAAAUAGAAUUAGGGAACGUUUUCAGACUGAUGAUUAACUAAUUAUUUCCGUCGUUUUGUCCAAAUAAAAAAAAUUAUGUCGUCAAGUCAGUAUGCAAGCGAACGUUUCGUUGAAGUUUGCUGUCAAUAUUUUUGUAUUGUUUAUCCACAAUAGCAGAUAGACCGAUCAAAUAUUCCCAACAAAAAGACCUCUUUGUGACCAUUUACAUGUUUUAACAUAAUUUUGCUUGGCUGUGCCGUUGUAUCUAUAGUGCUUUCACCUUUAUGCUUGUCCGUAAUUCACGGUGUUUUUGCGUAAAGGGUUUCGUCAUGUUUUUUUGUCCAGCCUAUGCGAUGCCUGCAACAUGGUGUAAUCUUUUAUUUUUACAAAUUAUACGGAAAUCAGUCAAAAAAAGAUGAUAUCUGUGGGUCAAAAUUCACCUAAAUUGCAUUUUCAGUCAAAAAAAAUUUGUCUUUUCGUAAAAACGUUUCAGGAAGAUGACUGUGGAAUGUAUCAACCAUGCCAAUAAUUCUGUUUAAGAAUUAUCCUCUUCAUCCCCGAAAUUUGAGGGUUUUCUAUUCGGCGCAUUAUCAUAGAAUUAUUAUAAAGAAAGUUCUAGACGACAAGCAAGAUUUCCUCAAACGAUAAAAUGUAAUACGAAGCCUUUUUUUCGGAUAGAAAUGACAAUGACUUCGCUUGAUUCUGCUGUGAAUAAGGUGACCCGUGCCUUUUAUGUUGUGCAGUUUGGUGGGCGAUAUAACUCAACACAUUCCGGAAGAAUUAUACACAGUCAAUAAUAUUCGCUGCUGUCGACAGGAGAUUGUUUUAUUUCCGAAGGAUCAAAUUAUAUUCUAGUAAACGUUGUGCUUUGCAAUGAUGUUAUUUUGUUUGAUAUGCGUAUAUCAUUUGUGCUGACUUGAUUUUAGUUGAUACAAUCAUUUAAGAUUUCGCUUUCGGCCUGUGUGAUUAGACCAUUUGUACUGACCUGGUAUGGCUUUACUAUUUAGUACUGACUUGAUUUUGGUUGAUACAAGCGUAUUAUUUGUGAUUUCGUUUCAUAUGAGUAUACCAUAUUGACUUGAUUAUGCUUGAGUAUGCCAUUGGUGCUGAGUUGAGUUUCCUCUAUAUGAGUAUAUCAUUUGUGCUGACUUGAUUUGGCUUUAUAAAAGUAAAUCAUUUGUACUGAGUGGAUAUUGCUUUAUAAAAGUUUAUCAUUUGUGCUGACUUGA